UACGUAGGGGGCUAGCGUUGUCCGGAUUUAUUGGGCGUAAAGCGUCCGUAGCCGGCCUUACAAGUCCUCCGUUAAAUCCAGCUGCUUAACAGAUGGGCUGCGGAGGAUACUAUAAGACUAGGAGGCAGGAGAGGCAAGCGGUACUCAGUGGGUAGGGGUAAAAUCCGUUGAUCCAUUGAAGACCACCAGUGGCGAAGGCGGCUUGCCAGAAUGCGCUCGACGGUGAGGGAUGAAAGCUGGGGGAGCAAACCGG
rnacentral:rRNA from 1 species